AACGAACGCUGGCGGCAGGCCUAAAACAUGCAAGUCGAACGGGUGUAGCAAUACAUCAGUGGCGCACGGGUGAGUAACGCGUGGGAACGUGCCCUUCAGUACGGGACAACGUCGGGAAACUGACGCUAAUACCGUAUAAUAUCUCCGGAUCAAAGAUUUAUCGCUGAAGGAGCGGCCCGCGUCUGAUUAGCUAGUUGGUGGGGUAAUGGCCUACCAAGGCUACGAUCAGUAGCUGGUCUGAGAGGAUGAUCAGCCACACUGGGACUGAGACACGGCCCAGACUCCUACGGGAGGCAGCAGUUAGGAAUAUUGGACAAUGGGCGAAAGCCUGAUCCAGCCAUGCCGCGUGUGUGAUGAAGGCCCUAGGGUUGUAAAGCACUUUCGUUGGGAGUGAUAAUGACCGUAC
rnacentral:rRNA from 1 species